GUGUUCUGUUCUACGCUGCAGUCUGCUGGGGAGGAAGUUUCGAACACAAAGAUUCAAGACGUCUGAACAAACUGGUGAAAAAAGGCUGGCUCUGUGGUUGGACUCAAGCUGGACUAAGUGGAGGAUGUGGUGGAGAGAUCUACACUGUGGAAGGUGGAGACUGUUCUAAAGAACAUGGAUCACCCACUUCACAACACUUUGAUGGACCAAAGGUAAAUAGUAGAUAACAAAGAUGACAUGAGUAUACAGACAAUUUAAUUUCCAUUUGGGUGAUCAGUGAAGUUCUUAUCUUUUUCAUUGUACUUCAAAGGUAAAGUCUGAGAACAUUCAGUGAUAUCAACCACAGGACCACUCUCUUCUUUUUCAUCCUCUCUUAAAUCGUUACAUUCCUGUGCAUCAUUUUCUAGCUUCAGACACAAACAUGUCUGACUGUUUUCACCACCACAUCUGAACUAAAGGGACACUGCUGCAUUCGCCUCAGUCCAUGGCUACAGGAAAACACAGGCUACUUUCAGGUAAAGACGGUGCUGUAACUUUCUCACUGUUUCAUGUUGUAAAAUAUUGUUUCCUCUUUGUACCCUUUUUCAGCUUGGUGCAGCCUGACCUUAGGACUGAUUUUUAUGACUAAAUCAGUUGAAAAGUAAUCAUGAUGAAUGAUUUGUACAACUCUGAACGGUCAAACAUCUGUUUUCUUUUCACAGGAAGAGCCUCUCUCAGCCGUGGAUCAGUCAUCAGUCUCUGUGUCUCUCAGGAAAAGAAGAACAAAAGCCUGCUCGUUGGACCAGAUGGACUUUCAAUGUAAUCACAAAAAUAAUAAUAACAAAGCACAGAGAGUGGAAGUGAAGAAUCUGUUUUCAGCUCUUUCCUCUAGCUUUCAAAUGUGGUUACAAAAAAAUAAAAAGUGUGCCACCUCGUAACCAUCACGGAUCUCUAGUUCUCAGAAUAACAAACACUCUCUGUCCCUCUGUGAUCAUGUGUCCCUCAGCACCUUCAGGAACAGCUUCAUGCUUUUGAAACACUUCCUGUCAUGCUCGGCUGGUCUGCCCACAUUGUUGCUGAGAGAGUGAGUUCCUCUAAGCGUGUGAAGAAGUGUUGAUACUUCUGUGGGGCCUCUUACUGACCCUCUGGCAGCGGCUGUAACUGACCUGAUGUUGUGCGGUGAACGUGCAACAACCGUGGCUAACAGAGAGACAGACAGAGAGAUGGAGGAUUAAAUUAGAGGCAGAGAUUUAAAGGUCUCAUAUUAUGAAAAAUUCACUGUAGAAUGGUUUUCUAACAAUAACAUGCAUCCCAGCCUGUCUACCCCUCUCCCUCUCUUGCUUGUUCCUUUCAGAAAAUGUCUGCUCAAACGGUGGAUUGAAGCUCCACGACAUAAUGGACGGCGAUAACUCCUCCCCUCCAGGUUGGCGACCCUGCCCAAGAUGUUGGUUCUGACCCCCGAAAAUUUUCACUCAGACACUAUUUUCUCGCAAAAUAGCGAAGGUACAAGCAAGGCACAGCAGCUGCUCUGUUGUUGGCUGCAUGAAGCAGCACAGAAAUCUGUUUCAAUAGACUGCAAGAACAUCGUCACGAGAGAAAACUAUACUUACGAUACUGCACAUUCACCAGAAGAGCUCCAAGUAACGAGAAGACAGCAGAGAUGUAACCGUUAGCAGGAGCUAAUGUUAGCUAGCUACAUGUAAGUCACUGUGUACAAACACAUGAAAAAAGUAAAAAGAAAAAUAUCCAGACACAUAAUGUUUGUAACUAACCAUUCAGAAACGUCCUGCUGCAGACACAGAGUUGGAAUUUCUUCAGGAGCCUCUCCUUCUGGGUCAGACUCUGGAUCAAACAGGUACGGCUGGACCACAGGAUUAUCUCUUUUCGCAAAGCAUGAUUGGUUCUUGCAGACAAAUAAUUGACAAGAAUUGCAGAAUUGAUUCUUUCUACUGUCCAUGCCUAUUGGGCGAAUUAGAUCGCCUUUAAACUAGAAUUAUUAUUUUCUUCAGAGUUGUUUGGUUUUCACUUCAACAUCAUGGAGGAGAAAAUGGUUUUAAAGGUUGAUGUUUGGGGUUUGAAUGAAGUCAAACUUUUGCAGCCUGAUCUUUAUCUAUGCCCGAGACUAACAUUUUGAUAUCAUAGGUAACGUAUGAAGCAGCGAGUAUCAACAUGAGGAAUUAACAACAUCAAAAACCCAGUAAAAAUGUUCUUUUAAUUCCUUGAAAGUAAACUGUCCAUCAUGACUGCUCUAGGUGCAUUUGGUUUGAAAACAGCCUCAAAGUUGCCUAUGCAUUGAUAAAACCUUUGAAUUCUCUCUCUGGUACUGUUUGGAACCAGAAACACAUGUGGAAACACAUGAAAACAUACACCCAAAGCGGGACUCCUAUGGGAUGAAACAGAAGAAAUCGUUCUCAGAAGGUCCAAGAAGACAGUGCUCACUGGAACCCUUGCAUGACUUGCUGCAUGAACAGCUGCUGUUCAUCAUUUAUCAGCUCCAACUUGAAUAACACAAUAGGCUCAGACAAUACACCAUUCUUUCUUGUGCACAAACAAGCAGAGAGUGGGAACUAGGGAUAUAACUAGGAGUGAAAUAGCUUUCCCAGUGAGAAUUCAGGCAGAGUUUUGUGGGGUAACUUGGAAACUGCUUAGAACAGCAUCAUUCACUCCUGUGUAGGUAAGGUGUAGAGUCAAUGCUCAGGCUUUACCUCACAGCUUAAUGUAAAACACUGACAACACUUAUACAGUAGAUUUGAGUUAGAUUGAGUUGUUGAGUUGAGUUCGAUAGACUCGCCUGUACGAACAAGCGGCUACUGGCAGAGAGUGGAUGAGUUUUGUUUGGUCUCUUUGCUAAAGAAACCAGGAAAAGCUAAAAAGAUGUUUGGUGGCUUGUACUAUGGCUGGGACCCUAUAUGUACUGUUGAUGAAGUUAGGUGCUGUUCUGAGCAUUAUUUGUGGCUACAGAGCGACUUUUUCGUUGAGCGUGUGGCUCUCUGUAUUGCUAUCGUGCAGUCAUUACUAAAGUUGGUAUAACUAGAGAAGCAAGCAGUCGUCAACAUUCAUCUCUCAACAGGGUGUCUAACUCGGUGUUAAGGUGUGUUUGACCCUAACUUAGUUUUACACCAGAUUAUCCCUUUAAGCAGAAGUGUUGUUGGGCAGUGUCCAAAGAUUACUGAGUACUGGUUUGUUUAGAACAUAAAAUCUGAAGCAUCAGUAGUAGGUAGAGAACUCUCCUACACAGAUCUGUUUGCACCCUUUUGAGUAACAUUAGGUAGCAGCUGUAAAAGUGCAUCCCUCUGAGGACGAGAACAUGUCAAGUGCCUCUCUCCUGAAUCCAAACGACCCACUUCUGUGCAGUCCUCUGUGAUUAUUUUGGAUAAUAACACUAAACUACUCUGCCUCAUUCCUUCUUUCAGGCUUCCCACAUGUUUUUCCACGCAGCAGAGCCUCUGACUCACAAACCAGAAGACCCGCCUCCAUCCCCCA